rnacentral:ncRNA from 1 species
AAGGUCUGGUCCUAGCCUUGAAGUCAGUUUUUACUUUACUUAUACAUGCAAGUCUCCGCACCCCUGUGAAAACGCCCUUAAACUCCUAUCAGGAACAAGGAGCUGGUAUCAGGCACAACAAUUAGCCCAAGACACCUAGCUACGCCACACCCACAAGGGAACUCAGCAGUAAUUAACAUUGAACAUAAGCGCCAGCUUGAUUCAGUCAAAGUAAUAAGGGCAGGCAAAUUUGGUGCCAGCCGCCGCGGUUACACCAUGUGGCCCAAAUUGAUCUCUUUCGGCGUAAAGAGUGAUUAAAGUGAUGCUAUACUGUAGUUUAACUAUUAUUAAGUCGUGACAAGCUUAUACCUAGGAAACUCAAAAACGAAAGUUACUACACCAAAAACAACUUGAACUCACAAUAGCUAAGAAACAAACUAGGAUUAGAGANNNNNNNNNNNNNNNNNNNNNNNNNNNNNNNNNNNNACAAACGCCAGGGAACUACGAGCAAAGCUUAAAACCCAAAGGACUUGACGGUGCCCCACAUCCCCCUAGAGGAGCCUGUCCUAUAAUCGAUAACCCCCGUUAAACCUCACCAUUUUUAGCCAAAUCAGUCUGUAUACCUCCGUCGUCAGCUUACCACAUGAGUGGAUCAUAGUAAGUUCAAUGUCAUGCCUAUCAAUACGUCAGGUCAAGGUGCAACUUAUAAAAUGGGAAGAGAUGGGCUACACUUUCUAACUUAGAAGAAACGGAGGACUACUAUGAAAACUAGUCUAAAGGUGGAUUUAGCAGUAAAAAAAGACCAGAGAGCUUUUUUUAAUCCGGCCCUGGGGUGUGUACACACCGCCCGUCACCCUCUUCGCAGCCAUACAACAGUUAUUAACAAAACUUGCACAGUAGAAGAGGUAAGUCGUAACAUGGUAAGUAUACCGGAAGGUGUGCUUGGAAACAAAAUGUA